AUACGGAGGAUGCGAGCGUUAUCCGGAUUUAUUGGGUUUAAAGGGUGCGUAGGCGGGCUGUUAAGCGUGAGGUGAAAGCUCGGGGCUCAACCCCGGAACUGCCUCGCGAACUGGCGGUCUUGAAUGUCCGUGCCGGGGGAGGAAUGUGUGGUGUAGCGGUGAAAUGCAUAGAGAUCACACAGAACACCGAUUGCGAAGGCAUCUCACGAACGGAUGAUUGACGCUGAGGCACGAAAGCGUGGGGAUCAAACAGGAUUAGAUACCCUGGUAUUCCACGCCGUAAACGAUGAUGACUAACCGUCGGCGAUAGACAGCCGGUGGCCAAGCGAAAGCGAUAAGUCAUCCACCUGGGGAGUACGUCGGCAACGAUGAAACUCAAAUGAAUUGACGGGG
rnacentral:rRNA from 1 species